UACGAAGGGGGCUAGCGUUGCUCGGAAUCACUGGGCGUAAAGCGCACGUAGGCGGCUUUCUAAGUCAGGGGUGAAAUCCUGGAGCUCAACUCCAGAACUGCCUUUGAUACUGGAGAGCUAGAGUCCGGAAGAGGUGAGUGGAACUGCGAGUGUAGAGGUGAAAUUCGUAGAUAUUCGCAAGAACACCAGUGGCGAAGGCGGCUCUCUGGACCGAGACUGACGCUGAGGCGCGAAAGCGUGGGGAGCAAACAGG
rnacentral:rRNA from 1 species